GCCUUGGUAGCUCAGUCGGUAGAGCAUGAGGCCCUUAAUCUCAGGGUCGUGGGUUCAAGCCCCACGUUGGGCA